ensembl:ncRNA T22D1.20 ncRNA
CAGAGAUGUGUGAUAUUGUUAUGACCAUUUUUCUGGAGUGGUCGUUGAACAUGAACAAGAUGAGGGAAACUGACAUUAUGCCUGAAAGGGUAAAAGUUUUAAUUGAAUCUCGCAAGUUCAAUAUUUCCCCACCUCGUAUUUGGAUCUUCAUGCCAACUGUAAUGAAUCCACGUGUGAUUGUAGGUUUCUGGUUUUACAACGACUUUUCCACGUUUCACGGUUGG